CGCAGGAACCCAUACGAGCCCCUCGGUCCGCUAGAUCCGUGCAAUUCCUUAUAUAGACUCGGCCGCAGCCAGCGGCAGGGCCGUAGCCGCCCAUUAUUCUCCAAACAGGUACCGGGCGGGCGGGGGCCGCGCUCCGGCCUCGGCCCUGUCGCCGCAGGAACUGUCCAGACAAUACCCACCAGCAGACGGUCGCCGCGGAGCGGGCGGGCGGGCGGGCGCAGCAUCGCCCCCCAGAUAAGCAGAAAUGCAACCAACUUCCACCGUCUCUCCCCACCGCAAAGGGCGACUGUGCAACCCAACACAUGUUCGGGGCUCGCUCGCUCGCUCUCCGGUUAUUAUUGUUAUUUUUCUAAACUCUCACGCCAGGCAGAUGGGUGUGUGUGUGUGUGUGUGUGUGUGCGCGCGCCCCUCCCCGCGCAGCAUCAGCACUCAUUAGUAAACCCGGCGGCCGCCGCCGCCGCCGGGCGGGCAGCGGCGACCCGCGUCCGUCGGUCCGGCCGCCCCCCUCCCCCACACUCCUUCCACCCGAGACCCCGAGCGCCGUCCAAGCUCCCUCCGCCGGUUUCACGCCCCGCGCGUCCGGCCCAGGUGGAGAAUCACAGCCUCUGAUUGAUCUCCAAGGUUCGAUUUGAGUUUUUAAUUCACCAAAAGUGAUUGCUGAAAAAUUAACUAUUUUUUCCCAUGAUUUUAAAAAAUUAUUUUUUUCCCAAAACAAACUUGGAUGGAAUGUUACACAUGAAAUAAUUGACUUAAGAAGAAUCUAAAGCCACUCCAAGUCUUUUGUUUCCAACUUUAUGAUCAAGCACCCCUAAGGCUGUAUAACUCAGUGGGGAUUAAUAGGGAUUGAGUCAGCCAUAAAUAAUCAAUAAAAAGAAAGCAACUUAGUACAAUGGUCUUAAAUCCAAGUUCACAGUUUGCCUGACAAUGGACAGUCCAGUGAGAUUCAUAGUGGCCAAGAUAUAAAUCUCCACUAAAUAAGCUUCCUAAAAGAAACACUAACUCAACCAUAUUCUAAAAAUUGUGAUGUUACAUAAAAAGGACUUUGAGUUUGCUGAUCUUUGUAAUAGUGGAAAAGCAUUAAUAAAUGGAAAAUCAUCCUAAAGUUUUAGGUUUUUCUUUUCAAACCAUGGAAUAAAUUUGGCUUCUGUCACUGACCAGCAAAGUGCCCAGGACUUGAAGGACCAAUACCCCAGAGAAAAAGGACAUUGAGGAAAGUUCAGCAUUUGACAUCAUUUUUCUCUUAUCUUUUCAAAGCUCAAGCUGUGCAGGUCAAAGCCUAGGAAACUAGGCAGAAAACACUGAAACACAGUGUGGAAUUUUCAACAGUCUCAUGAUCCUUGAGAAACAAAAGUUGGAUUUCAGAAUCUGUCCAGAGGGGAGGGGGUGCACAGUAAACUUCACCUGGAAUCCCUGGGGGUUAGUGUACUAUUAAUAUUAAGCCUGUGGGUAAACCAAGCCUUAUAAAGAGCACCAGAGCACCUCACAUCAGCUCAAUCUUGAUUGGAUUGAACUCAUCUGAUCCCAUUCUGGCUCACAGAAUAGAGGAAAGCCUCUUUGAAGAAAAACAAUAGCAUCCAAGGCCA
rnacentral:lncRNA from 1 species